GAUGAACGCUGACAGAAUGCUUAACACAUGCAAGUCAACUUGAACUUCGGUUUGGGUGGCGGACGGGUGAGUAACGCGUAAAGAACUUGCCUCACAGCUAGGGACAACAUUUGGAAACGAAUGCUAAUACCUGAUAUUAUGAUUAUAUGGCAUCGUAUAAUUAUGAAAGCUAUAUGCGCAGUGAGAGAGCUUUGCGUCCCAUUAGCUAGUUGGAGAGGUAACAGCUCACCAAGGCGAUGAUGGGUAGCCGGCCUGAGAGGGUGAUCGGCCACAAGGGGACUGAGGCACGGCCCGUACUCCUACGGGAGGCAGCAGUGGAGAAUAUUGGACAAUGGACCGAGAGUCUGAUCCAGCAAUUCUGUGUGCACAAUGAAGUUUUUCGGAAUGAAAAGUGCUUUCAGUUGGGAAGAAAAAAAUGACGGUACCAACAGAAGAAGUGACGGCUAAAUACGUG
rnacentral:rRNA from 1 species